CUAUUUAAUCUGAUCAUCUUGGUCCACAAGAAGUCUAAAAAAUGGAGCAAACCAAAAGAACAGAUGGACAAAAAUGCUAUGCUGAUGGUCUCCAUUUGUCCCAAGAGGAGCUCUGAAGGGACUGAAGAGUUCACAAAGAGGCUGGUGGACAGGAAGACUCGUGACAGUGUCUGUCUCGAAACCCUUAUGAUCAUUCAUGUCUGUAGUGCGUGAGUUGGAUAUUUAUGGGCCUUUCCAGCUGAUAAGAAAUCAAUGAAAUGUUUUAUGGACCCUA